GACGAACGCUGGCGGCGUGCUUAACACAUGCAAGUCGAACGGAAAGGCCCUUCGGGGUACUCGAGUGGCGAACGGGUGAGUAACACGUGGGUGAUCUGCCCUGCACUUUGGGAUAAGCCUGGGAAACUGGGUCUAAUACCGGAUAGGACCACGGCAUUCAUGUGCUGUGGUGGAAAGCUUUUGCGGUGUGGGAUGGGCCCGCGGCCUAUCAGCUUGUUGGUGGGGUAAUGGCCUACCAAGGCGACGACGGGUAGCCGGCCUGAGAGGGUGACCGGCCACACUGGGACGGAGAUACGGCCCAGACUCCUACGGGAGGCAGCAGUGGGGAAUAUUGCACAAUGGGCGCAAGCCUGAUGCAGCGACGCCGCGUGAGGGAUGACGGCCUUCGGGUUGUAAACCUCUUUCGCCAGGGACGAAGCGCAAGUGACGGUACCUGGAGAAGAAGGACCGGCCAACUACGUG
rnacentral:rRNA from 1 species